UACGUAGGUCCCGAGCGUUGUCCGGAUUUAUUGGGCGUAAAGCGAGCGCAGGUGGUUUAUUAAGUCUGGUGUAAAAGGCAGUGGCUCAACCAUUGUAUGCAUUGGAAACUGGUAGACUUGAGUACAGGAGAGGAGAGUGGAAUUCCAUGUGUAGCGGUGAAAUGCGUAGAUAUAUGGAGGAACACCGGUGGCGAAAGCGGCUCUCUGGCCUGUAACUGACGCUGAGGCUCGAAAGCGUGGGGAGCAAACGGG
rnacentral:rRNA from 1 species